rnacentral:lncRNA from 1 species
UAGGGCUCUCCAAACUAAAUGGCUGGAAUAAAAGUCACUCAUUUUCAUUUUCAGUUAAGAGUCCAACUCCCACAACCGAAUAUAUCCUUGGUGCUUUUAAAAAUAAGUUCAUGCAUUUACCACCACCAUGAAUAUCACCUCAACUACUAUUGCUAUCUGGUGUCGUCACUGCUAUGCUCACCACCACCACUACCACUAUCGUUAUUAUCUUUGCCACACCACA